GGGUUGUGAGGUUAAGCGACUAAGCGUACACGGUGGAUGCCCUGGCAGUCAGAGGCGAUGAAGGACGUGCUAAUCUGCGAAAAGCGUCGGUAAGGUGAUAUGAACCGUUAUAACCGGCGAUGUCCGAAUGGGGAAACCCAGUGUAAUUCGUUGCACUAUCGUUAACU
rnacentral:rRNA from 1 species